rnacentral:tRNA from 1 species
UUAUAUUUAAUUGUAUUUUGCAUGUAAAUUUUUGAGAUUUAAGGUUUCAAUUUUUAGUUGAAAAAUAUA